UCCAGGGUAGCCUAGUGGACAUGGCAUCUGCCCGGUAAGCAGAACUGUGGGUUCGAUUCCCAUCCCUGGAC